rnacentral:rRNA from 1 species
GAUGAACGCUAGCGGCAGGCCUAACACAUGCAAGUCGAGGGAGAAGCCCUUUCGGGGGCAGAAACCGGCGCACGGGUGCGUAACGCGUAUGCAACCUACCUUUCACAGGGGGAUAGCCCGAAGAAAUUUGGAUUAAUACCCCAUAAUAUUAUUGGAUGGCAUCAUUUGAUAAUUAAAACUGCGGUGGUGAAAGAUGGGCAUGCGUCCUAUUAGCUAGUUGGAGUGGUAACGGCACCCCAAGGCUACGAUAGGUAGGGGUCCUGAGAGGGAGAUCCCCCACACUGGUACUGAGACAGGGACCAGACUCCUACGGGAGGCAGCAGUGAGGAAUAUUGGUCAAUGGUCGGAAGACUGAACCAGCCAUGCCGCGUGCAGGAAGAAUGCCUUAUGGGUUGUAAACUGCUUUUAUAUGGGAAGAAUAAGGCGUACGAGUACG